GAUGAACGCUGGCGGCGUGCCUAAUACAUGCAAGUCGAGCGAACAGACGAGGAGCUUGCUCCUCUGACGUUAGCGGCGGACGUGUGAGUAACACGUGGAUAACCUACCUAGAAGACUGGGAUAACUUCGGGAAACCGGAGCUAAUACCGGAUAAUAUAUUGAACCGCAUGGUUCAAUAGUGAAAGACGGUUUUGCUGUCACUUAUAGAUGGAUCCGCGCCGCAUUAGCUAGUUGGUAAGGUAACGGCUUACCAAGGCAACGAUGCGUAGCCGACCUGAGAGGGUGAUCGGCCACACUGGAACUGAGACACGGUCCAGACUCCUACGGGAGGCAGCAGUAGGGAAUCUUCCGCAAUGGGCGAAAGCCUGACGGAGCAACGCCGCGUGAGUGAUGAAGGUCUUCGGAUCGUAAAACUCUGUUAUUAGGGAAGAACAAAUGUGUAAGUAACUAUGCACGUCUUGACGGUACCUAAUCAGAAAGCCACGGCUAACUACGUG
rnacentral:rRNA from 1 species